rnacentral:rRNA from 1 species
UACGUAGGGGGCUAGCGUUGUCCGGAAUCAUUGGGCGUAAAGCGCGUGUAGGCGGUCCGGUAAGUCCGCUGUGAAAGUCGGGGGCUCAACCCUCGAAUGCCGGUGGAUACUGUCGGGCUAGAGUCCGGAAGAGGCGAGUGGAAUUCCCGGUGUAGCGGUGAAAUGCGCAGAUAUCGGGAGGAACACCAAUGGCGAAGGCAGCUCGCUGGGACGAUACUGACGCUGAGACGCGAAAGCGUGGGGAGCAAACAGG